AUUAAAUAUGUCAGUCUUGAUUUUAAUUUUAACAAAACUGAGUAUUUUCUUUUAUACCUAGUUUGAGAUCACAACAGUCCUAUUGCACAUCUUCCUCACCUGCCCCAUCAAAUGCUAUAGCAGCAUCUUCAUGGAAGCAGAUACCAUUUGGUUUGCAGAAAUGCUCACAACCAUCACCAACAACCAUGUCUGAACCAAUGGAUGUGGAUGUCCAGAAACAAUUUAGAAAAGUAUGCCUCAUAAAUUAUGGUGUUCACCUCAUUAUUUUUUAUUAAAGCAGUAUUACAAUA
rnacentral:lncRNA from 1 species